rnacentral:rRNA from 1 species
AGAGUUUGAUCCUGGCUCAGAUUGAACGCUGGCGGCAUGCUUUACACAUGCAAGUCGAACGGCAGCACGGGUGCUUGCACCUGGUGGCGAGUGGCGAACGGGUGAGUAAUGCACCGGAACGUACCCAGUAAUGGGGGAUAACGCACCGAAAGGUGUGCUAAUACCGCAAACGCCCUGAGGGGGAAAGCGGGGGAUCGAAAGACCUCGCGUUAUUGGAGCGGCCGAUGCCGGAUUAGCUAGUUGGUGGGGUAAAGGCCUACCAAGGCGACGAUCCGUAGCUGGUCUGAGAGGACGACCAGCCACACUGGGACUGAGACACGGCCCACACUCCUACGGGAGGCAGCAGUGGGGAAUUUUGGACAAUGGGCGCAAGCCUGAUCCAGCCAUGCCGCGUGAGUGAAGAAGGCCUUCGGGUUGUAAAGCUCUUUCGCAAGGAAAGAAAACUUAGCCACUAAUACUGGCUGAGGAUGACGGUACCUUGAUAAGAAGCACCGGCUAACUACGUGCCAGCAGCCGCGGUAAUACGUAGGGUGCGAGCGUUAGUCGGAAUUACUGGGCGUAAAGCGUGCGCAGGCGGUUUCGUAAGUCAGAUGUGAAAUCCCCGGGCUCAACCUGGGAACUGCGUUUGGAACUGCGAGGCUAGAGUGUAGAAGAGGGGGGUAGAAUUCCACGUGUAGCAGUGAAAUGCGUAGAGAUGUGGAGGAAUACCGAUGGCGAAGGCAGCCCCCUGGGCUAACACUGACGCUCAUGCACGAAAGCGUGGGGAGCAAACAGGAUUACAUACCCUGGUAGUCCACGCCCUAAACGAUGUCUACUAGUUGUUGGUGGAGUAAAAUCCAUUAAUAACGCAACUAACGCGUGAAGUAGACCG